rnacentral:pre_miRNA from 1 species
GUGCUACUCCCUCCGUCCGAAAAUACUUGUCAUCAAAAUGGAUAUAUCUAGAACUAAAAUACAUCUAGAUACAUCCAUUUCAAUGACAAGUAUUUUCGGACGGAAGGAGUACAAG